GGACCCGCACAAGCAGCGGAGCAUGUGGUUUAAUUCGAAGCAACGCGAAGAACCUUACCAGGGCUUGACAUCCUGCUGACAGGUCGGUAAAACGACCCUUCUUCGGACAGCAGUGACAGGUGGUGCAUGGUUGUCGUCAGCUCGUGUCGUGAGAUGUUGGGUUAAGUCCCGCAACGAGCGCAACCCUUGUCAUUAGUUGCCAUCAAGUUAAGUUGGGCACUCUAGUGAGACUGCCGGUGAUAAACCGGAGGAAGGUGGGGAUGACGUCAAAUCAUCAUGCCCCUUAUGUUCUGGGCUACACACGUGCUACAAUGGCUGGUACAAAAGGAAGCGAUACCGCGAGGUGGAGCCAAUCAAGAAAACCAGUCCCAGUUCGGAUUGUAGGCUGCAAUUCGCCUACAUGAAGUCGGAGUUGCUAGUAAUCGUGAAUCAGAAUGUCACGGUGAAUGCG
rnacentral:rRNA from 2 species